AGGACUACACAUACCAGGCAGCUCUGGCUGAGCUGACCGGCUACCUUGUUCAGGCACCCAGCAGUAGGCAGAACAUAUACUGGGCCAUGGUUAAGCUGCUACCAAAGCUGAGAGAGUCAUACUACUCCCGUUCAAACCAGCAGGAAUGGCAGUCGGAUCUUGGAGGUAUGAUAUUUGAGGUGGGCGCUAUCCUUUAUCACUACGGGUUCGUGGUCGACCAGAAUCUUCGUGACAGCAUCUUUGGGAUCGGUGAGCGACUCGGUGUCCUAGCCGCUGGACCCGAAAAGAAGUAACCAACCGGAAUGCAAGGGACGCUGUCAUUGGGAGUGAUGACGUUUCUUUGGCGCUGCGAAAUAAAGGUGUUUUGCAAAUUGA